AGAAUUUUUGCCUGAGUGUAGUCUAAAACUUCAUUCGGAUAGCAAAUGAUCCUUGACUUGAAAUCAUCCUUGUCAAUCUAAACAAAAACAUGGCGGCAGCAGCGGAACAUAGCAUUUCUUCUCGGAUUUCGCAGGUGACCAAGAACCGAUAAUCCUGGUUCGAUCCAGGGACAUUGGAGUGGAUAAUGUGGACACUUCCAGGAUGCUUCAAACAGCUAUAUUAAAGGCGGCUCAUUAGUGCGUGAAUUGUUAAUUGAUUUUUAUGUUGCCUAUUAUCAUCAAAAUAAAUGAUGACUUGUGGAAACCACCAA